GCGCCGGUAAGGUGAUAUGAACCGUUAUAACCGGCGAUACCCGAAUGGGGAAACCCAGUGUGACUCGUCACACUAUCAUUAACUGAAUCCAUAGGUUAAUGAGGCGAACCGGGGGAACUGAAACAUCUAAGUACCCCGAGGAAAAGAAAUCAACCGAGAUUCCCCCAGUAGCGGCGAGCGAACGGGGAGGAGCCCAGAGCCUGAAUCAGCAUGUGUGUUAGUGGAAGCGUCUGGACAGGCGCGCGAUACAGGGAGCCAGCCCCGUACACAAAAGCGCAUGGGCUGUGAGCUCGAUGAGUAGGGCGGGACAAGUGGUAUCCUGUCUGAAUAUGGGGGGACCACACUCCAAGGCUAAAUACUCCUGACUGACCGAUAGUGAACCAGUCCCGUGAGGGAAAGGCGAAAAGAACCCCGGCGAGGGGGGUGAAAAAG
rnacentral:rRNA from 1 species